rnacentral:rRNA from 1 species
CCUACGGGAGGCAGCAGUGAGGAAUAUUGGUCAAUGGACGCAAGUCUGAACCAGCCAUGCCGCGUGCAGGAAGACGGCUCUAUGAGUUGUAAACUGCUUUUGUACGAGGGUAAACGCAGAUACGCGUAUCUUUAUGAGAGUAUCGUACGAAUAAGGAUCGGCUAACUCCGUGCCAGCAGCCGCGGUAAAACGGAGGAUUCAAGCGUUAUCCGGAUUUAUGGGGUUUAAAGGGUGCGUAGGCGGUCGGAUAAGUUAGAGGUGAAAUCCCGAGGCUUAACUUCGGAAUUGCCUCUGAUACUGUUCGGCUAGAGUGUAGUUGCGGUAGGCGGAAUGUGUGGUGUAGCGGUGAAAUGCUUAGAGAUCAUGCAGAACACCGAUUGCGAAGGCAGCUUACCAGGCUACUUCUGACGUUGAGGCACGAAAGCGUGGGGAGCAAACAGGAUUAGAUACCCCUGUAGUC